rnacentral:lncRNA from 1 species
CGGCCGGAAAAAGCAGUGGUGCCACUAUGUUAAAGUGAAAAUUCCAUUCAAUCACAUCACAUCUAAGAAAGAAAUAUGUGCACAGGCCCUUACCGCCAAUCCUCUGGGCGGACGGCUCAGUCUGGGCAGCCAUCACAGGCUGCUACUUCAGUUUGCAGGGAUUCCCUGCAGCACGCAGGCUACUGCAUGUAGCAAAAUCCGUGAACUUGAACCAAAUCUUUUUAUAGAAGAAGUUCAGAUCAAUACUAUAUAAAUCACCAGCAGGCAUUCCUCUCUGCUGUCUCUCAUUUUCAUUCCCAGCAUUUUCCUCCUCUGUUUCUCUCUCUCUCUCUCUCCCUCUCAUUUAUU